rnacentral:rRNA from 1 species
GACGAACGCUGGCGGCGUGCUUAACACAUGCAAGUCGAACGCUGAAGCUCCAGCUUGCUGGGGUGGAUGAGUGGCGAACGGGUGAGUAAUACGUGAGUAACCUGCCCUUGACUCUGGAAUAAGCCUGGGAAACCGGGUCUAAUACUGGAUACGACGUCCUACCGCAUGGUGGGGCGUGGAAAGGGUUUUACUGGUUUUGGAUGGGCUCACGGCCUAUCAGCUUGUUGGUGGGGUAAUGGCCUACCAAGGCGACGACGGGUAGCCGGCCUGAGAGGGUGACCGGCCACACUGGGACUGAGACACGGCCCAGACUCCUACGGGAGGCAGCAGUGGGGAAUAUUGCACAAUGGGCGCAAGCCUGAUGCAGCGACGCCGCGUGAGGGAUGACGGCCUUCGGGUUGUAAACCUCUUUCAGCAGGGAAGAAGCCACAAGUGACGGUACCUGCAGAAGAAGCGCCGGCUAACUACGUGCCAGCCGCCGCGGUAAAAC